rnacentral:sRNA from 1 species
AAAGGUUUGCUAUUUCCAAAACCCCAUGCUAUGAUUAGUCCAUGCUUAAUACGUAACACCAUCUAAUUCACAUGUUAUCAGGAACUUUUUACAUUUUCCGAUCAUGUAAAAAGCUUGUGAUAGCAUGUGAAUUCUUUGUUUUUACUCAGCUAUUAAGUAAAACUUAGAACACAGUGGAGGAAUUACCCAUGAACGAAGGUACAGUAAAAUGGUUUAACGCAGAAAAAGGAUUUGGCUUCAUCGAAGUAGACGGCGGCGAAGAUGUAUUCGUACACUUCUCAGCUAUCACUGGCGAAGGAUUCAAAACUCUUGAAGAAGGUCAAAAAGUUAGCUUUGAAAUCACUCAAGGCAACCGUGGCGACCAAGCUGCUAACGUUGUAAAAUUAUAAUUUUACACUUUCAAAACACCCGCUUCUCUUUUGAGGAGCGGGUGUUU